rnacentral:misc_RNA from 1 species
CAGAGUUCAUGCCCUUACGGGUAGAUCUCCCACCCUAUGUUAUCAUUACCUUUGUUGCUUUGGCGGGCCGCCAGGCCUUGGUCAGGCUACCGGCUCCGGUUAGUCAGCGCCCGCCAGAGGACCCCAAACUCUGAAUGUUAGUGUCGUCUGAGUACUAUAUAAUAGUUA